CUUUACUGUAGCUUUACAUUGGACUUUGAACAGAUCUGUGUAGGAUAGGUGGGAGGCUUUGAAGCGGUGCCGCUAGGUGUCGUGGAGCCAACGUUGAAAUACCACCCUGGUGUGUUUGAGGUUCUAACCUUGACCCGUUAUCCGGGUUGGGGACAGUGUAUGGUGGGCAGUUUGACUGGGGCGGUCUCCUCCCAAAGCGUAACGGAGGAGUUCGAAGGUACGCUAGGCACGGUCGGAAAUCGUGCUGAUAGUGCAUAGGCAUAAGCGUGCUUGACUGCGAGACUGACAAGUCGAGCAGGUACGAAAGUAGGACUAAGUGAUCCGGUGGUUCUGUAUGGAAGGGCCAUCGCUCAACGGAUAAAAGGUA
rnacentral:rRNA from 1 species